rnacentral:rRNA from 1 species
UUAAGUUAUUAAGGGCGCACGGUGGAUGCCUUGGCACUAGAAGCCGAUGAAGGACGUUACUAACGACGAUAUGCUUUGGGGAGCUGUAAGUAAGCUUUGAUCCAGAGAUUUCCGAAUGGGGAAACCCAGCAUGAGUUAUGUCAUGUUAUCGAUAUGUGAAUACAUAGCAUAUCAGAAGGCACACCCGGAGAACUGAAACAUCUUAGUACCCGGAGGAAGAGAAAGAAAAUUCGAUUCCCUUAGUAGCGGCGAGCGAAACGGGAAGAGCCCAAACCAAAAAGCUUGCUUGUUGGGGUUGUAGGACACUCUAUACGGAGUUACAAAGGACGACAUUAGACGAAUCAUCUGGAAAGAUGAAUCAAAGAAGGUAAUAAUCCUGUAGUCGAAAAUGUUGUCUCUCUUGAGUGGAUCCUGAGUACGACGGAGCACGUGAAAUUCCGUCGGAAUCUGGGAGGACCAUCUCCUAAGGCUAAAUACUCUCUAGUGACCGAUAGUGAACCAGUACCGUGAGGGAAAGGUGAAAAGCACCCCGGAAGGGGAGUGAAAUAGAACCUGAAACCGUGUGCUUACAAGUAGUCAGAGCCCGUUAAUGGGUGAUGGCGUGCCUUUUGUAGAAUGAACCGGCGAGUUACGAUUUGAUGCAAGGUUAAGCAGUAAAUGUGGAGCCGUAGCGAAAGCGAGUCUGAAUAGGGCGUUUAGUAUUUGGUCGUAGACCCGAAACCAGGUGAUCUACCCUUGGUCAGGUUGAAGUUCAGGUAACACUGAAUGGAGGACCGAACCGACUUACGUUGAAAAGUGAGCGGAUGAACUGAGGGUAGCGGAGAAAUUCCAAUCGAACCUGGAGAUAGCUGGUUCUCUCCGAAAUAGCUUUAGGGCUAGCCUCAAGUGAUGAUUAUUGGAGGUAGAGCACUGUUUGGACGAGGGGCCCCUCUCGGGUUACCGAAUUCAGACAAACUCCGAAUGCCAAUUAAUUUAACUUGGGAGUCAGAACAUGGGUGAUAAGGUCCGUGUUCGAAAGGGAAACAGCCCAGACCACCAGCUAAGGUCCCAAAAUAUAUGUUAAGUGGAAAAGGAUGUGGCGUUGCCCAGACAACUAGGAUGUUGGCUUAGAAGCAGCCAUCAUUUAAAGAGUGCGUAAUAGCUCACUAGUCGAGUGACACUGCGCCGAAAAUGUACCGGGGCUAAACAUAUUACCGAAGCUGUGGAUUGUCCUUUGGACAAUGGUAGGAGAGCGUUCUAAGGGCGUUGAAGCAUGAUCGUAAGGACAUGUGGAGCGCUUAGAAGUGAGAAUGCCGGUGUGAGUAGCGAAAGACGGGUGAGAAUCCCGUCCACCGAUUGACUAAGGUUUCCAGAGGAAGGCUCGUCCGCUCUGGGUUAGUCGGGUCCUAAGCUGAGGCCGACAGGCGUAGGCGAUGGAUAACAGGUUGAUAUUCCUGUACCACCUAUAAUCGUUUUAAUCGAUGGGGGGACGCAGUAGGAUAGGCGAAGCGUGCGAUUGGAUUGCACGUCUAAGCAGUAAGGCUGAGUAUUAGGCAAAUCCGGUACUCGUUAAGGCUGAGCUGUGAUGGGGAGAAGACAUUGAGUCUUCGAGUCGUUGAUUUCACACUGCCGAGAAAAGCCUCUAGAUAGAAAAUAGGUGCCCGUACCGCAAACCGACACAGGUAGUCAAGAUGAGAAUUCUAAGGUGAGCGAGCGAACUCUCGUUAAGGAACUCGGCAAAAUGACCCCGUAACUUCGGGAGAAGGGGUGCUCUUUAGGGUUAACGCCCAGAAGAGCCGCAGUGAAUAGGCCCAAGCGACUGUUUAUCAAAAACACAGGUCUCUGCUAAACCGUAAGGUGAUGUAUAGGGGCUGACGCCUGCCCGGUGCUGGAAGGUUAAGAGGAGUGGUUAGCUUCUGCGAAGCUACGAAUCGAAGCCCCAGUAAACGGCGGCCGUAACUAUAACGGUCCUAAGGUAGCGAAAUUCCUUGUCGGGUAAGUUCCGACCCGCACGAAAGGCGUAACGAUUUGGGCACUGUCUCAACGAGAGACUCGGUGAAAUCAUAGUACCUGUGAAGAUGCAGGUUACCCGCGACAGGACGGAAAGACCCCGUGGAGCUUUACUGUAGCCUGAUAUUGAAAUUCGGCACAGCUUGUACAGGAUAGGUAGGAGCCUUUGAAACGUGAGCGCUAGCUUACGUGGAGGCGCUGGUGGGAUACUACCCUAGCUGUGUUGGCUUUCUAACCCGCACCACUUAUCGUGGUGGGAGACAGUGUCAAGCGGGCAGUUUGACUGGGGCGGUCGCCUCCUAAAAGGUAACGGAGGCGCUCAAAGGUUCCCUCAGAAUGGUUGGAAAUCAUUCAUAGAGUGUAAAGGCAUAAGGGAGCUUGACUGCGAGACCUACAAGUCGAGCAGGGUCGAAAGACGGACUUAGUGAUCCGGUGGUUCCGCAUGGAAGGGCCAUCGCUCAACGGAUAAAAGCUACCCCGGGGAUAACAGGCUUAUCUCCCCCAAGAGUUCACAUCGACGGGGAGGUUUGGCACCUCGAUGUCGGCUCAUCGCAUCCUGGGGCUGUAGUCGGUCCCAAGGGUUGGGCUGUUCGCCCAUUAAAGCGGUACGCGAGCUGGGUUCAGAACGUCGUGAGACAGUUCGGUCCCUAUCCGUCGUGGGCGUAGGAAAUUUGAGAGGAGCUGUCCUUAGUACGAGAGGACCGGGAUGGACAUACCUCUGGUGUACCAGUUGUCGUGCCAACGGCAUAGCUGGGUAGCUAUGUGUGGACGGGAUAAGUGCUGAAAGCAUCUAAGCAUGAAGCCCCCCUCAAGAUGAGAUUUCCCAACUUCGGUUAUAAGAUCCCUCAAAGAUGAUGAGGUUAAUAGGUUCGAGGUGGAAGCAUAGUGACAUGUGGAGCUGACGAAUACUAAUCGAUCGAAGACUUAAUCAA